AACGAACGCUGGCGGCAUGCCUAACACAUGCAAGUCGAACGAGAUCUUCGGGUCUAGUGGCGCACGGGUGCGUAACGCGUGGGAAUCUGCCCUUUGGUUCGGAAUAACAGUUGGAAACGACUGCUAAUACCGGAUGAUGACGAAAGUCCAAAGAUUUAUCGCCAGAGGAUGAGCCCGCGUAGGAUUAGCUAGUUGGUGUGGUAAAUGCGCACCAAGGCGACGAUCCUUAGCUGGUCUGAGAGGAAGAUCAGCCACACUGGGACUGAGACACGGCCCAGACUCCUACGGGAGGCAGCAGUGGGGAAUAUUGGACAAUGGGCGAAAGCCUGAUCCAGCAAUGCCGCGUGAGUGAUGAAGGCCUUAGGGUUGUAAAGCUCUUUUACCCGGGAUGAUAAUGACAGUACCGGGAGAAUAAGCUCCGGCUAACUCCGUGCCAGCAGCCGCCGUAA
rnacentral:rRNA from 1 species